rnacentral:tRNA from 1 species
GUUUUAAUAGUUUAACUACCAAAAACUUUGGUCUUGUAAACCAAUAAUGAAAUUUUUUUUUCUUAAAACU